rnacentral:rRNA from 1 species
UACGGGGGGAGCAAGCGUUGUUCGGAUUUACUGGGCGUAAAGGGCGCGUAGGCGGCCAGCACAAGUCAGUUGUGAAAUCUCCGAGCUUAACUCGGAACGGUCAACUGAUACUGUGCGGCUAGAGUGCGGAAGGGGCAACUGGAAUUCUUGGUGUAGCGGUGAAAUGCGUAGAUAUCAAGAGGAACACCUGCGGCGAAGGCGGGUUGCUGGGCCGACACUGACGCUGAGGCGCGGAAAGCCAGGGGGAGCGAACGGG